rnacentral:lncRNA from 1 species
AGUGUUCCUGGUCCUUCAAGGCCUUCUGUUUUACAGGAAUCAGCACCUCCAGCACCAACUCUAGUGUAUCAGAGAAGAAGUAAACCUGACCUUCUCUAGAAACAAAUUCAAUCGCCUGAUCCGGAGGUAAGUACUGAAAAUGAUUCCUCUAGUGAUGAUUGUGCCAUUUUUUAUACUUGUGACACUAAUCCAGUUGAUUUACCCAUUGCUUUGAGGAAGGAUAAAAGAUCUUGUCCCUCCAUAUAUCGACACCUUAUCUCUCAAUAUGUCUCCACU